UACGCAGGGUGCGAGCGUUGUCCGGAAUUACUGGGCGUAAAGAGCUCGUAGGUGGUUUGUCGCAUCGUCUGUGAAAUUCCGGGGCUUAACUUCGGGCGUGCAGGCGAUACGGGCAAUACUUGAGUGCUGUAGGGGAGACUGGAAUUCCUGGUGUAGCGGUGAAAUGCGCAGAUAUCAGGAGGAACACCGAUGGCGAAGGCAGGUCUCUGGGCCACUACUGACGCUGAGAAGCGAAAGCAUGGGGAGCGAACAGGA
rnacentral:rRNA from 1 species